AGAUCCUUCCUUGGUGAAGCUUUCCUCUGUGAAGCUGGAAUCACCUGAUAUGGGCAGAGCAAAAGCCAAGCCUCCUUUCUCCUAAUGAACCUCCAAACCUCCUGUGCUGCGAGUCAGUGAUGAAAUAACCAUUGUCUGCAUAAAGCUUUUAGUGCUGAAUGUAAAAAAGUUCUAGGCUGCCAGCAGGUGGGAUCCCUGUUCAAACAGGACAUAACUUACACCUGGUUUACAAGGAUUUGCAUAUUUUCAUUUCCGAUGAGGUUCCUCACUUUGGCUCAGCACCUUCCUGGAUGUGGGCAUUGAAAUCCACGUGUGAAAUGUCAACUUGAAAAGUGAAGCACAUCUGUGUUGUCCAUCAGGUCUUGGUGAGCAGGACUGCUUUGGAACAGUGCUGUCCAAAGUCACCUGCAGGCAGGGCAGGUGGGGAUGCCCUCAGCUCUGUUCCUGUUGCCCUGGGAAUCUACUGGUACAGGGGCAAAGUGAUGUUUGUGUAAAGGCUCUAAUUGUGAGCCUCACAUCUGUUUAAUGGCUCGGCUUUGAUUUGCUGACUUAAGCUUGCAUGUGAUAGAUGGUUGUGCAUGGUGCUUGCACAUCACAGUCACUUCUGUAUUUUACAUCUGGCUGCAGCUUAUCUUCAGAAUGUUUGCAGCAAAAUAGCUCUUCAAAACAAUAUUUCCUCUUAGUGUUGAGAAUUACUUUCCCCAUGCUCCUUUGAUUUUUAUCUUUUCCUCGUA